GACGGGACCGUCAAGGCCGCCCGCUGGCUGGCUUGUCGUUGGAGGCCUCCACCUGCUAGAAGAGGCCUGAGCUUGGGCUGGAGAGACCUGCGUGAACAGGAUGCCAGUGGCCAAGAUCUCCAAGAGGUGCUGGGAAACGCUCCCUGAGAACGCACGCAGCUUGAGCCUCGCGUUCUGGGCUGGGGCGGCGCACACAAAUGCCUCAACGACAUCAUCACAAAUGCCUCAAGGACAUCAUCACCGGUAGGAAAGGGAGCUGCUCAGACAGACACGCAUGGCUGCAGAGGCGCGCAGCUGAGGGGUCAAAUUCCAGAAGUUUGGCCCCGGAGGGAAACAGAGCUCAGUUUCCUUCGUGCUGGUCCCCUUUCCUCCGGCUCCUUUUCUUUUAAUGGGAAAGAUGGUUGCAGUGGCAGGAAGAAGGGCCAGGAGGAUCGUGGUAGGGAGAGAUGUGAGCCUGGAGUCGGAAGAACAGAGAUCAGUGCAGAUGCCUCCACCUGGAACAGAAGAGAGACUCCAGAAACAGACUCACACAUAAAUGGUCAACUGAUUUACAACAAAGGUGGUAAGACAAUUCAAUGGGGGAGAGGAAGAUCUUUUCAACAAACUCUGCCAGUUCGGCCCAUUGCUCCUAGUUCUGGCCUCCAGAGGAAUGCCGAAUAACAACACUUCCCUGUUCAACAUGGCGGACAACCCGUGAGAUACCUGAAGAUAGCCUGAGGGCCUUCUUUAUCCAGGCUUUGGCUCAUUCCUCAGAUAACACGGUGGCCCUGGCUAUUCCUCGCUGAUCGUGACCCACGUUGGUCAGUGUCCCUCUCAAAAUGGGCCGCCUAAGACAAUAUAAUCCUACCGAUGGAAGGUGGACCACCAUCUCCUUUCUUCCGUUGCUCUAUUACAACAGUUCAGCCUAACGUGCCAUUGACAAUUUUUACCUCCAAAACUGAUAAUAUAUUAACCUACAGCGAAUUCGAACAUUUGAGUGGGUUUUGUUUUGUUUUUUUCCCCAAAAUAAAUUUUGAUGAUCCCAGGGGGCACCUGAAGAAUGGAGUGGCCAAAUUGUGUUUUGCCUCAACAGUUUUGCCUCUUUAUUAAAUGUCGAUGGCUCCUGCUAGCAAAUGCAGGCUCCUGCCUCAGCCACUCCCCCCUUCGGGCCUCCUAUCGGUUACUUACCAAACUCUAGACCCUAGGAAAGUAACUGCCUUUUCAACAAUCUGCCAAGACCCACAAUCGAACACAUGGGCCUCCUCCACGCACCGUCAGUGCUAUCCCUGAUAGCUACUGGGUGCUUGCAGCAAGUGAUUAGAAGCAGACAUUGUUGGCAAUGGCCACAAAACACACACAUCCAGGAAAUGCAUUUAUGCAAAAUACCUGCCAGAUCAGACACGGAGCCUCAAAUAAAAGCCUUACCAAAAAAUGUGGAGGGGAAUGGACCAAAAAGCUGGUCUCCCAGCUUGCUUUCUCUGGGUAGCUCAAAAGCUAAGCUAUGGGGGGGGAGAAGAUUCUUUGGGAGCAUUGCAGUUGUUUCUUGGAUUUUCAAAAGUAAAGUACCAACAUAUUCAACGGGCGAAAAGAAGCACUGCUUUUCCAGGCAAUUUUCUUUGAAACUUUGAGUCAUUUAAGAGGAAAAGACAAUUGAAUGUGUUUUGGCACUUUUGUUCUUUACGGUCAACUUCAGGCUGACGGUCAUUUGCACACCCUCCUU